CUAUUACCUGUUCUAACGUACUAAUUUUUUAGCUUGCUACUACCUCUUCUUCUAUUACCCGUUCACUUGCUAAUACAUGUUCUACUUCUGUGCCAUUUUUUAGUGAAGACAGAGAAUAUGCGUGCUUGUAAGUCUCCAACUGUGCUAUCUUUUCUUGGAUCGAUCUCCCUGUUCUGGUGGAUGCCAAGCCUCCAGCUGCAGGGUAAACUAGAUCAUUACAUUGAAGACAGAGAAUAUGCGUGCUUGUAAGUCUCCAACUGUGCUAUCUUGUCUUGGAUCAAUCUCCCUGUUCUCGUGGAUGCCAAGCCUCCAGCUGCAGGGUAAACUAGAUCAUUACAUGUACUGAAGCCCUGCCAUGACUCCGACCAUGUCUCUGGCAAGGCGGCAUCUACAAUACGAGAGCACCACCCUACGUGACAUGUGCAGUGACGAAAGGCGCAAACCAAAAGCCUCCUGGAGGGCUCGCUGGAGAUUUGCUCGUACGCUAGAUACAGGAAUGAUACUGGAUAUUUUUGCGUAAAAAUAGUAGCAUCCUAUUGGACAUGUAAUUUUUUAUUUUAUUUAUGAUAUGAUUAGUACCACAAUAACCUUUUAGAAGAUCUGAUUACUAGAAAUAUGGAAUUUCCUAGAAGAUAUUUGGAAAGGAGAGUUCAUGAAAACAAAA